CAGCAGCCACGGUAAUACGUAGGGUGCGAGCGUUAAUCGGAAUUACUGGGCGUAAAGCGUGCGCAGGCGGUUUUGUAAGACAGGUGUGAAAUCCCCGGGCUCAACCUGGGAAUGGCGCUUGUGACUGCAAAGCUAGAGUGCGGCAGAGGGGGAUGGAAUUCCGCGUGUAGCAGUGAAAUGCGUAGAUAUGCGGAGGAACACCGAUGGCGAAGGCAAUCCCCUGGGCCUGCACUGACGCUCAUGCACGAAAGCGUGGGGAACAAACAGGAUUAGAUACCCCUGUAGUCCCUGUCUCUUAUAC
rnacentral:rRNA from 1 species